rnacentral:rRNA from 1 species
ACGAACGCUGGCGGCGUGCUUCACACAUGCAAGUCGAACGGAAAGGCCCUGCUUUUGUGGGGUGCUCGAGUGGCGAACGGGUGAGUAACACGUGAGUAACCUGCCCUUGACUUUGGGAUAACUUCAGGAAACUGGGGCUAAUACCGGAUAGGAGCUCCUGCUGCAUGGUGGGGGUUGGAAAGUUUCGGCGGUUGGGGAUGGACUCGCGGCUUAUCAGCUUGUUGGUGGGGUAGUGGCUUACCAAGGCUUUGACGGGUAGCCGGCCUGAGAGGGUGACCGGCCACAUUGGGACUGAGAUACGGCCCAGACUCCUACGGGAGGCGGCAGUGGGGAAUAUUGCACAAUGGGCGGAAGCCUGAUGCAGCAACGCCGCGUGCGGGAUGACGGCCUUCGGGUUGUAAACCGCUUUCGCCUGUGACGAAGCGUGAGUGACGGUAAUGGGUAAAGAAGCACCGGCUAACUACGUG